CCUUGAUUUUUUCCCUUGGAGCUCCCGUUGCUAUCGUCGUCACCUCCCAAUAAACCCUUGGUCGGACUUCAUCUCUAUAUCGUCGUCAAAUAAUAUCAUUUGUUUCAGAUUGGGGCUUAGGGCUUCAUUUUUUUCUUAGCACACAUAAAGAAAAGAAGGAGGCUCGGCGGGCUGCUCCAUUUCAAACCUAGCUAGGCAGCGUCGAGGUGCAGGUACAGUGGCAUAGUGAAUAAUUGGGUCAAUGGUUGACGUGGCUCUCAAGUUGUGGGAGUGAUUGCUGCUAAUUUAAGAAGUGGUUUUCAGCUUUGAGGUAAAGUGUCUUCAGUCUUUUUUUUUUGUUUUACUGAUAUUACUAUACCUUUCUAAAUCUAAUUAAUAUUACAGAGAGAAGAGAGUUAUGUAUAUAACGUAUGCAAAUAUAUAUGACAGAUUCUUAGUUUAGCUUUAGCAUGGAUUGAAUUUAUAUAUAUUUUGGUGAGUAAUUUUUCAUCUUCUUUUUAUUUAUGGAGGAAGAAAUGAUUUCAUUUCUCAUGAUCACAUAAUAGAAAUUUGAUUCUGAAGACUUGCCUUUUAUCUGAACAUCACUCACAACUUUUCUAAAGAUCCCUGGCACAAUAUUUGCAAGCCGGACUACUUCAUUGAUAACCUGUCCAAUAUUAUGUAUGUAUAUAUACGUGCAGAUGAAUGUAGCCCAGAAAUGAAGCUAUGAAUUACCCAGAAUCACUGGUUGCUUUAAAUAAAAGUAAUAAAGUAAUAUAUAAUGUUACUCUA